UACGUAGGGGGGCAAGCGUUGUCCGGAAUCAUUGGGCGUAAAGCGCGUGUAGGCGGUCCGGUAAGUCCGCUGUGAAAGUCGAGGGCUCAACCCUCGAAUGCCGGUGGAUACUGUCGGGCUAGAGUACGGAAGAGGCGAGUGGAAUUCCUGGUGUAGCGGUGAAAUGCGCAGAUAUCAGGAGGAACACCAAUUGCGAAGGCAGCUCGCUGGGACGUUACUGACGCUGAGACGCGAAAGCGUGGGGAGCAAACAGG
rnacentral:rRNA from 1 species